UCUGCAGGUGGUUUCUUAAGUCUACUGUUAAAUCUUGAGGCUCAACCUCAAAUCUGCAGUAGAAACUAGGAGACUUGAGUAUAGUAGGGGUAGAGGGAAUUUCCAGUGGAGCGGUGAAAUGCAUAGAUAUUGGAAAGAACACCGAUGGCGAAGGCACUCUACUGGGCUAUUACUGACACUCAGAGACGAAAGCUAGGGGAGCAAAUG
rnacentral:rRNA from 1 species